UUGAAAAAUGACACGGUCUGUCAGACACGUACGCGGGUACUCCGUCCGUUGUUCGCGACGGACUCCGUUCGAUGUUUUCCCGAGCCGUGGAUCAGUUCGUCGGUGAGGAUGUUGGUCCGUAGAACAGGAAGGUAGCUUUCCGUCGAGGGUUGGUGUGUAGAAUUAAUUUAGGAGCGGCUGUAGUGUUGGGUGAUUUCUCGUCUGCACGGAGGACACUUGGGCCGUUGUUCAGGUAAUGAGUUCGAGCAAAGGCGGCGCUCCCGAUUUCGUCGGCAAUGGAGUUUCUAAUGCUGCCGAUAAGCAGAUUCCCCCUGAUAGAGGAUGUGGAUGAAAGGGCACCGCCGCUGAAUCUGGUAGUGCGCGACGCCGCCGCAUCGAUGGUGGGUGCGGCCGUGCGGGGGUGGUGGAUGGGCGGCGGGAGUCGUCGCCGCAGGCAUCCGAACUAUCCAUCGGGAAGAUGAACAAGUAGGCUCCUCGCUCGACUAAGAGGAUAGGUGCAUCAGCCCCUAGCAGGACACCAAGCCCCUCCUGUGUGAGGGGUGUGAGGGGCUAUGCAGAGAACCCUUCAGAAACUGUGAGUGUGCCGACUUUAGGUACAAGCUUUUACUCGCUCGGAGAGCUUUUGAUUCCUACAACUUAUAUUCCUGGAGAAAUGUUUUGUAAUAAGACAUGGAAGAGCAGAUUGAAUGUGGAGGGAACAAAUGCAUGCAAGAAAAUCGUAUGUGGGUGCUCGGGGGAAGCCGGUGUAGAGAACAACUUGCCCGACACGGGCGACGUCCCGAAACUGCCAAGAAAGCCAAGACGAUCCAAGAAUUAUUGUGUUGGAGAGCAUCGGAAGAACAGUUGCACGAAGACAAUGGAAAUGAGAUUGCCCUGUUUCUAAUGCGCUGUGUUGUGAUGUCAAAAAAGCUAGUUUUCUUUUUCUUAAGUGUGAGGCUAGUGCCAUUAGAACUAUGAGGCUGGCGUUUGUUUAGAUUUGUGAUUGCAAUUGUUGUAACUGUAGUGUGAUUUGAUGCUGGCCCAGUGGGCGCCUUGUUGCAGUACGAGCCCUGAUUAUAACAUUUGUU